rnacentral:tRNA from 1 species
GCGGGCGUGGCGGAAUUGGCAGACGCGCUGGAUUUAGGUUCCAGUGUCGGAAGACGUGAGGGUUCGAGUCCCUCCGCCCGCA